rnacentral:rRNA from 1 species
CAGUCGCCACGGGAAUACGUAGGGUGCGAGCGUUAAUCGGAAUUACUGGGCGUAAAGCGUGCGCAGGCGGUUAUAUAAGACAGAUGUGAAAUCCCCGGGCUCAACCUGGGACCUGCAUUUGUGACUGUAUAGCUAGAGUACGGUAGAGGGGGAUGGACUUCCGCGUGUAGCAGUGAAAUGCGUAGAUAUGCGGAGGAACACCGAUGGCGAAGGCAAUCCCCUGGACCUGUACUGACGCUCAUGCACGAAAGCGUGGGGAGCAAACAGGAUUAGAUACCCGCGUAGUCCCUGUCUCUUAUAC